rnacentral:rRNA from 1 species
AUUGAACGCUGGCGGCAGGCCUAACACAUGCAAGUCGAACGAGUGGCGAACGGGUGAGUAAUGUCUGGGAAACUGCCCGAUGGAGGGGGAUAACUACUGGAAACGGUAGCUAAUACCGCAUACCAUCAGAUGUGCCCAGAUGGGAUUAGCUAGUAGGUGGGGUAACGGCGCACCUAGACGACGAUCCCUAGCUGGUCUGAGAGGAUGCCCAGCCACCCUGGAACUGCGACACGUUCCAGACUCCGACGGGAGGCAGCAGUGGGGAAUAGUGCACAAUGGGCGCAAGCCUGAUGCAGCCAUGCCGCGUGUAUGAUGAAGGCCUUCGGGUUGUAAAGUACUUUCAGCGAGGAGGCGUUACUCGCAGAAGAAGCACCGGCUAACUCCGUGCCAGCCGCCGCGGUAAUAC